AGAGUUGAUCCUGGCUAGGACGAACGCUGGCGGCAUGCUUCAUACAUGCAAGUCGAACGAUAAGGUCUCUCGGAGAUACAUAAGUGGCGGACGGGUGAGUAAUAUGUAGGAAAUCUGCCCUUGAGAGGGGGACAACAGAGGGAAACUUCUGCUAAUACCCCAUAUGAGCGUACCUGAAAUGGUAUUCUUGAAAACUCCGGUGCUCAAGGAUGAGCCUGCAUCUGAUUAGCUUGUUGGCGGUGUAAUGGACCACCAAGGCGACGAUCAGUAGCUGGUUUGAGAGGAUGAUCAGCCACAAUGGGACUGAGACACGGCCCAUACUCCUACGGGAGGCAGCAGUAGGGAAUUUUGCGCAAUGGGCGAAGGCCUGACGCAGCAAUGCCGCGUGAACGUAGAAGCCCUUCGGGGUGUAAAGUUCUGUCAGUGGGGACGAAUUUUGACGGUACCCACAGAGGAAGCACCGGCUAACUCCGUGCCAGCCGCUGC
rnacentral:rRNA from 1 species